rnacentral:rRNA from 2 species
GACAGAGGGUGCAAACGUUGUUCGGAAUUACUGGGCGUAAAGCGCGUGUAGGCUGCUCGGAAAGUCGGAUGUGAAAGCCCUGGGCUUAACCUAGGAAGUGCAUUCGAAACUUCCGAGCUGGAGUUCUGGAGAGGAAGGCGGAAUUCUCGGUGUAGAGGUGAAAUUCGUAGAUAUCGAGAGGAACACCGGUGGCGAAGGCGGCCUUCUGGACAGUGACUGACGCUGAGACGCGAAAGCGUGGGGAGCAAACAGG